GGGGAUGUAGCUCAGCUGGGAGAGCGGCGGCUUUGCAAGCCGUAGGUCGAGGGUUCGAAUCCCUUCAUCUCCA
rnacentral:tRNA from 1 species